CUAUUAUUCUUUAUUUUAAAAAUUUUUUACUUAAGUAGUGUAAAUGAUAAAAAAUAUAAAGUAUUUGAAACUUAAAAAGCUUGGCGGUGUUAUAGAUCCAUUUAGGGGAGCUUGUUUAUUAAUUUGAUAAUCCUCAAUAAACUCUUACUUUUUCUUGAAUAUGUUAAUUACAGUUUGUAUAUUGCUGUCAUCAGUUUAUUUUGUAAAAAUUAUUUAAAGGACUUGAAAGUAUAGAUUACUAAUAUGUCAAGUCAAAAUGCAGCUAAUGGAGAAGGUUUAAAGUAAAAAUGAGCUACAUUUUAUAAUUUUUAAUUGGAUUAAAUUAUGUAAUAGUUUAUGAAUUUGGACUUAAUAGUAAUAUAAUUAAAUAGUGUGUUUAUAUGAAUUGUUUUGGUUUUGUAAUGCGU
rnacentral:rRNA from 1 species